GACGAACGCUGGCGGCGUGCUUAACACAUGCAAGUCGAACGGAAAGGCCCUGCGUUUGUGGGGUGCUCGAGUGGCGAACGGGUGAGUAACACGUGAGUAACCUGCCCUUGACUUUGGGAUAACUUCAGGAAACUGGGGCUAAUACCGGAUAGGAGCUCCUGCUGCAUGGUGGGGGUUGGAAAGUUUCGGCGGUUGGGGCUGGACUCGCGGCUUAUCAGCUUGUUGGUGGGGUAGUGGCUUACCAAGGCUUUGACGGGUAGCCGGCCUGGGAGGGUGACCGGCCACAUUGGGACUGAGAUACGGCCCAGACUCCUACGGGAGGCAGCAGUGGGGAAUAUUGCACAAUGGGCGGAAGCCUGAUGCAGCAACGCCGCGUGCGGGAUGACGGCCUUCGGGUUGUAAACCGCUUUCGCCUGUGCCGAAGCGUGAGUGACGGUAAUGGGUAAAGAAGCACCGGCUAACUACGUG
rnacentral:rRNA from 1 species